rnacentral:rRNA from 1 species
GAACGAACGCUGGCGGCAGGCUUAACACAUGCAAGUCGAACGCUCCGCAAGGAGAGUGGCAGACGGGUGAGUAACACGUGGGAACGUACCCUUUACUACGGAACAACUCCGGGAAACUGGAGCUAAUACCGUAUGUGCCCUUCGGGGGAAAGAUUUAUCGGUAAAGGAUCGGCCCGCGUUGGAUUAGCUAGUUGGUGGGGUAAAGGCCUACCAAGGCGACGAUCCAUAGCUGGUCUGAGAGGAUGAUCAGCCACAUUGGGACUGAGACACGGCCCAAACUCCUACGGGAGGCAGCAGUGGGGAAUAUUGGACAAUGGGCGCAAGCCUGAUCCAGCCAUGCCGCGUGUGUGAUGAAGGCCUUAGGGUUGUAAAGCACU